UUAGAAGCUUGCUUCUAUGACGUUAGCGGCGGACGGGUGAGUAACACGUGGGCAACCUGCCUGUAAGACUGGGAUAACUUCGGGAAACCGAAGCUAAUACCGGAUAGGAUCUUCUCCUUCAUGGGAGAUGAUUGAAAGAUGGUUUCGGCUAUCACUUACAGAUGGGCCCGCGGUGCAUUAGCUAGUUGGUGAGGUAACGGCUCACCAAGGCAACGAUGCAUAGCCGACCUGAGAGGGUGAUCGGCCACACUGGGACUGAGACACGGCCCAGACUCCUACGGGAGGCAGCAGUAGGGAAUCUUCCGCAAUGGACGAAAGUCUGACGGAGCAACGCCGCGUGAGUGAUGAAGGCUUUCGGGUCGUAAAACUCUGUUGUUAGGGAAGAACAAGUACGAGAGUAACUGCUUGUACCUUGACGGUACCUAACCAGAAAGCCACGGCUAACUACGUGCCAGCAGCCGCGGUAAUACGUAGGUGGCAAGCGUUAUCCGGAAUUAUUGGGCGUAAAGCGCGCGCAGGCGGUUUCUUAAGUCUGAUGUGAAAGCCCACGGCUCAACCGUGGAGGGUCAUUGGAAACUGGGGAACUUGAGUGCAGAAGAGAAAAGCGGAAUUCCACGUGUAGCGGUGAAAUGCGUAGAGAUGUGGAGGAA
rnacentral:rRNA from 1 species